rnacentral:tRNA from 1 species
GCUUCGUGGUGUAGUGGUUAGCACACUCGGCGCGUAUUUCUAGAGGUCCGGGUUCGAAUCCCGGCGAGGGCA